CCUACGGGCCGCACCAGUGGGGAAUAUUGGACAAUGGGGGCAACCCUGAUCCAGCAAUGCCGCGUGUAUGAAGAAGGUCUUCGGAUUGUAAAGUACUUUCGACAGGGACGAUGAUGACGGUACCCGUAGAAGAAGCCCCGGCUAACUUCGUGCCAGCAGCCGCGGUAAUACGAAGGGGGCUAGCGUUGCUCGGGAUGACUGGGCGUAAAGGGCGCGUAGGCGGUUUAUGCAGUCAGAUGUGAAAUCCCCGGGCUUAACCUGGGAACUGCAUUUGAGACGCAUAGACUAGAGGUCGAGAGAGGGUUGUGGAAUUCCCAGUGUAGAGGUGAAAUUCGUAGAUAUUGGGAAGAACACCGGUGGCGAAGGCGGCAACCUGGCUCGAUACUGACGCUGAGGCGCGAAAGCGUGGGGAGCAAACAGGAUUAGAUACCCGUGUAGUC
rnacentral:rRNA from 1 species